rnacentral:rRNA from 1 species
UACGGGGGGGGCAAGCGUUGUUCGGAUUUACUGGGCGUAAAGGGUGCGUAGGCGGCCAGAUAAGUUGGAUGUGAAAGCCCCGGGCUCAACCCGGGAAUAGCAUUCAAAACUAUCAGGCUCGAGUGUGGAAGAGGAUGGUGGAAUUUCCAGUGUAGAGGUGAAAUUCGUAGAUAUUGGAAAGAACACCCGUGGCGAAGGCGGCCAUCUGGUCCACAACUGACGCUGAGGCACGAAAGCGUGGGGAGCAAACAGG